AGAGGAGAGAGGGGUUGAUUAAGAUCUCAUUGCCUAUACAGACCCGACGCCUUUCUCCACCCGAAACCCCACGGACAAAGGAGCCACCAAUCAUUGUAUCCUGGCACCUGCAGGAGGAUCUAUAUUGGUAAUUGAACCACCAACUGUAGAUCGUAUGAGCCGCCCUCCGAGCAGAUUGAGUAAUGUUGUCUUGCCACUUCCAGAAGGUCCCAUUAAGGCCAGAACUUCGCCUGGGUGUACCAAACCGACAACAGGAUGAACUGAGUUCAGUAAAGUUGCAGACAAUCAUUAUUCACCAUAUUUUGGGCAAAUAUUCAACUCAGGUUAGAGAUGUCUAUGUUUCCCAAAAGUAUACUUCUUUCCCUCUACAAAGUGAUAUGCGUUGAUUAGCUUCUUUGAGCCUUAAACAACCUGAUUUUUGACGUGCAUGAACUCAAUGUUUUCUAAAAAUCAGGCUUGUCUAAGAUUCCAGGAGGACAGUUAUCCUUUCAAGUUUUUUAUUUUAUCUUUCUGGUUCUUAUUUUGUUCUCUCAGUUGGGUGGAAAGAUGGGAUGAGUCUUGUACAUGAAUGGUGAUAUAAAAUGAAACUUUGUACAAGACUGAACCUGACCAUGCUAUAAUUUGCAUGCUAGCUUAGCCAUGUUCUAUGGGGAUUGUGCUUUAAUCUCUACAUCAAUCUCCCUGUUUUUGCCUGUCCAAAUAGAUAGCCAUAAUUCAUUUGACAUCAGAAAAACAGAACCAUACAACUUUGAACACUCAUUUUUUUUUCUUUUUUGUUUUUGGUUAUCAAAGAUUAGGUGGCCAUGUAUUGGGGGAGAAUCACUUUAUUUCAAUGGUGACAUUACAC